rnacentral:rRNA from 1 species
CGUAAANUUAGGCAUAUAAAUAAGCGGAGGAAAAGAAACCAACAGGGAUUCCCUUAGUAAUGGCGAACGAAAAGGGAAGAGUCCAGCGCCGAAUCCCGCGCUCUUUGGGCGUCGGGAAAUGUGGCGUUUGGGAGUGAGCGUGCCGGAGGUUGGCUCUGCAGCAAGUCCCCCUGACCGGGGCUCUUUCCCAGAGUGGGUGCGAGGCCCAUAGCUGCUAGGUCUCUUCCGGAUGCGAUCUCCUUGGAGUCGGGUUGCUUGGGAGUGCAGCCCUAAUCGGGUGGUAAACUCCACCUAAGACUAAAUACUGCCGUGAGACCGAUAGCAAACAAGUACCGUGAGGGAAAGUUGCAAAGAACUUUGAAGAGAGAGUUCAAGAGUACGUGAAACUGCUCAGAGGAAAACGGGUGGGCCCUCGAAAUCCUGUGGCGGGAGGAUUCAGUCGAGAGGUUCGGAGGCAUGACCGAGGCGUUGACAGAAUGGUACCCGCGACCGGGCCUCCUUGGUUAUGCUCUUUCGGAUCGACCGACGCAUUUCUUUCCCGCCCGAAGGACGCCGCAACGGGUUGGCGGGACGGCCUUAAGGACGGGAGCCGGCAGGUGGCCGGUGGUCUCCCUCGUGGGGCCGCCGGUUGUUAGCCUUUCCGUAGUACGGUCGUACCCCGACCCUGGUGUCGCGAGGCCCUCUUGGGCCUCUCCGCCUCCUCCGUAGGUAGCGAGUAGACGUGGCAGGUGAGGCCCUGUUCCCGCGGGCGCACGGACUCACUCCGUGGCCCAGCAGGACAGGGUCCCCGUUGGCUGCGCAUGGCUCGUCGGRSWSSKRSYRRKKAGYSKMRMRURKRUSSGWSWCMSWSSSKMYCSRUSWWGMMCACRGGMSCAAKGAAAGCAAAGGCCGUUCACGGCUGAGUUGGGAUCCUCGCUCCUUCGCGGGCGAGGCGCACCAACGACCCGUCCCGUCCGAUUUAUCGGUGUGGCGGAGUUCGAGCAUACACGUUGGGACCCGAAAGAUGGUGAACUAUGCCCGGGCAGGACGAGGCCAGAGGAAACUCUGGUGGAGGUCCGCAGCGGUUCUGACGUGCAAAUCGAUCGUCAGACCCGUGUAUAGCGGCGAAAGACCAAUCGAACCAUCUAGUAGCUGGUUCCCUCCGAAGUUUCCCUCAGGAUAGCUGGCGCUCAGAGAUCAGUCUCAUCCGGUAAAGCGAAUGAUUAGAGGCCUUGGGGCCGAAACGACCUCAACCUAUUCUCAAACUUUAAAUGGGUGAGAAGUCCGCCUUGCAUGACUGAAGGCCGGACGUGACGGAUGAGAGUGCCCAGUGGGCCACUUUUGGUAAGCAGAACKGGCGCUGUGGGAUGAACCAAACGCCGGGUUAAGGCGCCCGAUGCGAGACGCUCAUGAGACCCCAUGAAAGGUGUUGGUUGCUCUAGACAGCAGGUUGGUGUCCAUGGAAGUCGGUAUCCGCUAAGGAGUGUGUAACAACUCACCUGCCGAAGCAACUAGCCCUGAAAAUGGAUGGCGCUCCAGCGUCGAGCCCAUACCCGGCCGCUGCGGCACAACUCCCCCAAGGAGAUUUACGCCGCAGUGAGUAGGAGGGUCGCAGCGGUGAGCGUUGAAGGUGCCGGGCGCGAGCCCGCCUGGAGCCGCCGCUGGUGCAGAUCUUGGUGGUAGUAGCAAAUACUCAAGUGAGAACCUUGAGGACUGAAGUUGGAGAAGGGUUCCAUGUGAACAGCAGUUGAACAUGGGUCAGUCGGUCCUAAGGGAUUGGAGAAAUCCGUUCCGAAGCGGGACAUUGACGAACAUUGCGACGAUGUGCUCGUCCCGCUAUCGACCGAAAGGGAAUGGGGUCAAUAUUCCCCAACCCGGACACGGAGAUAGGGCCCUCGGGCCCAAGUGCGGUAACGCAACCGAACUCGGAGACGUCGACGGAGGACCCGGGGAAGAGUUGUCUUUUCUUUGUAAGAGUUCGUGUCCCUGGAAUCGGCUCGUCCGGAGAUAGGGACGCUGUCCUCGUAAAAGCUCCGCGGCUCUUGCGGAGUCCGGUGCGCCUCUGUCGGCCCUUGCAAAUCCGAGGGAGAGAGUGUGAUUUUCGUGCCGGUCCGUACCCAUAUCCGCAGCAGGUCUCCAAGGUGAACAGCRUCUAGUCGAUAGAAC